rnacentral:rRNA from 1 species
AAACCAACAGGGAUUGCCUUAGUAACUGCGAGUGAAGCGGCAAGAGCUCAAAUUUGAAAUCUGGCACCUUCGGUGUCCGAGUUGUAAUUUGUAGAAGCAUCUUUUGGAUUGGUCCUUGCAUAUGUUCCUUGGAACAGGACAUCAUAGAGGGUGAGAAUCCCGUUCAUGGUGGGGAAUCCAAUUCUUUGUAAAGUGCUUUCGAAGAGUCGAGUUGUUUGGGAAUGCAGCUCUAAGUGGGUGGUAAAUUCCAUCUAAAGCUAAAUAUUGGCGAGAGACCGAUAGCGAACAAGUACAGUGAUGGAAAGAUGAAAAGAACUCCGAAAGGAGAGUGAAAAAGGACGUGAAAUUGUUGAAAGGGAAGUGCUUGAGAUCAGUCUUAAGGUUUAGUGAUCAGUCUUCCUUUUGGUUGGUGCACUCACUAUUUCUUAGGCCAACAUCAGUUUUGGCGGCAGGAUAAUGACAUUGGAAUGUGGCUCUUUCGGGAGUGUUAUAGCCUUUGUUGAUACUGCCUGCUUAGACUGAGGACUGCGCUUUUGCUAGGAUGUUGGCAUAAUGAUCUUAAGCAG